GGGGCUGCAGCUGAGUGGCAGAGCAUCUGUUUUGCAAGCUGAAGGUCCCAGGUUCAAUCCCCACCAUCUCCA